rnacentral:rRNA from 1 species
UACGAAGGGGGCUAGCGUUGCUCGGAAUCACUGGGCGUAAAGCGCACGUAGGCGGAUCUUUAAGUCAGGGGUGAAAUCCCAAGGCUCAACCUUGGAACUGCCCCUGAUACUGGGGAUCUCGAGUCCGGAAGAGGUUGGUGGAACUCCGAGUGUAGAGGUGAAAUUCGUAGAUAUUCGGAAGAACACCAGUGGCGAAGGCGGCCAACUGGUCCGGCACUGACGCUGAGGCGCGAAAGCGUGGGGAGCAAACGGG